CAAGGAAGUUUUUACAAAUACAAAAAAAAAUUUAAAACCUGUAUCACAGUAGCCAAUUAGAGAUAAUUUGGCAUUUUGUCCCCUAACACAUCCAAAGACUUUCAGUCAUUCUUGUCCAUCUCUUCUGGGGCUCUGAAUUAUCCAAGCUUAGUAAAUAGGUUAGGAAAUGAACUAAUCAUUUCCAUAACCAAUUAAAAUGCCUGCAUAGAACUGACAGUGUAAAACCUUCUGGUCUUUUUUGUGUUUGUUUCUGGUUUUUAAUAUACUGAUAACAAAGAGGUU